GCUCUUCAAGACAGGAUUUGAACCGCUGAUAGAUUGGCAAAGCGUGGGUGGCCAAACUGUGAUCUUUGCCCCCUUUGCAAGAGGGAACAAGAGGGUGGGAGUCACCUAUUCUUCAAAUGCCGCUUCUCUAGAAGGCUUUGGUCCUUGGUCAUUGACAAGUACCACGUCCCCGACUUCGUCAUUUCCACUUGGCCCCUAUUCGACUCGAUCCAAUCUUGGUGGGCAAGUACUUGCGACGACGGCUAUCCGCACAGACAAGCCAAGGCAUCCCUCACCAUGCUUGUUUCAUGGACAAUUUGA
rnacentral:rRNA from 1 species